AAUGGAAAUUUCCACGACUUUUCAGUGCAGUCUUCGAUACGUACAAGAACCAAACAACCACAUCUGUGGCUCCAAUUUGGUCAAAAAUUUGGCGGGAGAGUAUUACUUGAUUACGGCUGCUCAUUGUCUCAAUGACACUCGAGCCAGUCGUUAUGAAGCCCACUGCGGUAUCCAUGACAGAGCAGACGAGAGCGAGCCGCACAG
rnacentral:sRNA from 1 species